rnacentral:tRNA from 1 species
AGGGGUGUAGCUCAGUUGGUAGAGCAUCGGAUUCCAAAUCCGACGGUCGGGGGUUCGAGUCCCUCCGCCCCUG